GGAAGAAAUUCAUUCGUGUAUCAUUAUUGACAGAAUUGUGUAUUUUAGACAAUAUAUAUAAAAUUGAUUAUCUAUUAAAAGAUGAUUGAAUUUAUUUGUUGCUAUAUAUCUAUUUUGAAUCUGAUGGUGAACACGUGCAUUUUUCUUCUGGUAGGACGUCGCGAUCUGUUAGGAUAAAAAUAUUUUAUCGGUCUAUGAUAUAUAGUUAUAGAUCAUUGAUACAUAUAUAAUUUUAAUUAUAUAUGAUAAUAUUAAUGAAACUAUAUAUAUUCUGGCUGAUUUACCUGACGGUAAAGUGAAUGGUUAAAUGUCGCUAAUAAUUUUAGCGUUAGAGGUUAGGCAAGUGUAUCAAUUGUUAAAAAACAUUAUUUUCAUAUAUUUUAUAUGUGUGAUUAUGGUGUUAUCGGUAAUCGGUAUUUAUAUCAAUUCCGAGCUAUUGUUAUAUUGUUGGUCUAGCAUAUCUCUGACUGACAUUAUUAUUUUUUUUUUUGAAAAAAAAAAAAA
rnacentral:rRNA from 1 species